AUGUGGGGAAUUUUCUCCUUCUCACCCUACUUGGGAGGAUGGGAGCUUCUGUCUUCCUUGGGAGAAGUACAGUUGCUGCCAAGGGAAACACAGCUGAGGAGCAGUAGUGACCCAGCCUUCCCUUUGCUUCCUUUCUUCUUCCCUCCCUGCUGCACAGCUCCUUGGUGCCAGAAGCGCAGUGCUGCCUCACCUGAGGAUUCAGAGCUGCCUCCAGGCCCUUCCAGGACAAGUCCAGAUCCUCAAGGGCGUGAAGCUUCCCCAGCACGUGCCAAGAAAGUGUUUGCUCCAUCUGGACUUGGGGUUUCAUCAGGCCAGCCAGGCACACACAAAUUUCAAUUCCAGCCAGAGCUCAUGACUCCAGCAUUUCCUGCGCACCAUCAAAGCACUUCUGCGGCCUCUCCAGAGAGCAGCAGCUGCACUUCUCCAGAGCAGCACUUGCCAGCCAACAUCCCAUCAGCUGCCCCGGGCACUUCAGUCCCCAGUGCUCCAGCUGGCAGUGCUGGUUAUGCAGCAUGGAGAGCCCCAAGCUGGGUCUGGAGUACUCCUGGGGAAGAGGAAUUGCCACCGCUGGAUCUGGACCUUGUUCUGGAGACACUGGAGGAGAUGCUUUCACCAUCUGUGCCUGAAAGGUCUCCCUCUGCUCAGGUCAAUGCUAGUGUUGCCCGUGGCUCUUCAGGAGGGGAGGCUGUGAACAAGGCUGCAGCAGAGGGAGCUUUGCCUGCUUGCGGGAGCUGUGUAAACAUUUGCCAGGAGCCCGAGGAGCUUGGUAAGGAGUGAGCCCAGCGUGGUUUAGAGAGAUGGGAGACAGCUGCUCUGAGCCUGCCUCUGACAGGAAGAGAGAUGAGAAGAGUUGAGUUCUUGUCUGCAGCAGGGUUGGUGCUUCCUGGUGCUUUUAGUUCCAAUCCUGCACUGGCACAAGCUCCC
ensembl:lncRNA